rnacentral:rRNA from 1 species
UAGGGAAUCUUCCACAAUGGACGCAAGUCUGAUGGAGCAACGCCGCGUGAGUGAAGAAGGCUUUCGGGUCGUAAAACUCUGUUAUUGAAGAAGAACGUGCGUGACAGUAACUGGUCAUGCAGUGACGGUAUUCAAUCAGAAAGUCACGGCUAACUACGUGCCAGCAGCCGCGGUAAUACGUAGGUGGCAAGCGUUGUCCGGAUUUAUUGGGCGUAAAGCGAGUGCAGGCGGUCUUUUAAGUCUGAUGUGAAAGCCUUCGGCUUAACCGAAGAAGGGCAUCGGAAACUGGGAGACUUGAGUGCAGAAGAGGAGAGUGGAACUCCAUGUGUAGCGGUGAAAUGCGUAGAUAUAUGGAAGAACACCAGUGGCGAAGGCGGCUCUCUGGUCUGUAACUGACGCUGAGGCUCGAAAGCGUGGGUAGCAAACAGGAUUAGAUACCCUGGUAGUCCACGCCGUAAACG